rnacentral:rRNA from 1 species
UACAGAGGUCCCAAGCGUUGUUCGGAUUCACUGGGCGUAAAGGGUGCGUAGGUGGGCAGUUAAGUCAGUGGUGAAAUCUCCGAGCUUAACUCGGAAACUGCCAUUGAUACUAUCUGUCUUGAAUAUCCUGGAGGUGAGCGGAAUAUGUCAUGUAGCGGUGAAAUGCUUAGAUAUGACAUAGAACACCAAUUGCGAAGGCAGCUCACUACGGGAUUAUUGACACUGAGGCACGAAAGCGUGGGGAUCAAACAGG